rnacentral:ribozyme from 1 species
ACAAGUUUGAGGCCACAGUAGAAGUGCUCACGGUGCAGCGCUGUCAGAUUCCAACAAAUCUGCAAAUUCUGUU